rnacentral:tRNA from 1 species
GGAAAAAUUGUCACAGGCAAGACACAAUACAUGCUAGGUAUCUCCAACAUUUGGAUUAAGGGUUCGAAUCCCUUUUUUUCCG